GAUGAACGCUGGCGGCGUGCCUAAUACAUGCAAGUCGAGCGAACGGACGAGAAGCUUGCUUCUCUGAUGUUAGCGGCGGACGGGUGAGUAACACGUGGAUAACCUCCCUAUAAGACUGGGAUAACUUCGGGAAACCAGAGCUAAUACCGGAUCAUAUUUUGAACCGCAUUGUUCAAAAGUGAAAGACGUUCUUCCUGUCACUUAUAGAGUGAUCGGCGCUGCAUUAGCUAAUUGGUAAGGUAAGGGUUUACCAAGGCAACGUUGCAUAGCCGACCUUAGCGGGUGUUAGGCCACCCUGGAACGUAGCCAGGGUCCUGACUCCGACGGGAAGCCUCAGUAGGGUAUCUUCCGCAAUGGGCGAAAGCCGGACGGAGCAACGCAGCGUGUGUGAAGCAGGUCUUCGGAUCGGAAAACUCUGUUAUUAGGGAAUAACAUAUGUGUAAGUAACUAUGCUCGUCUUGACGGUACCUAAUCAGAAAGCCCCGGCUAACUCCGUG
rnacentral:rRNA from 1 species